UAAAAUGAUAAAAUAUCUAUAAUCUCUAUACUAUGAGAAAAAUUUAAACUCACAAAUCCUCUUAUGUAAGGGUUAUGAAUAUAUAUUACACAUUACUGAAUGUUUAUGAAAUAUAUACAUGGACUAUACAUAGUGUAUAUGUAUGAAUAUACAUAUUUAUAGAGGGUAUAUAUAUGACUAUAAUUUUUAAAAUUUUAUUAGGGAAUAAUUAUUGAGCCCAAAAGGAGUGUGAAAGGAUAGGUGGUGUGCAUUGUUCCUUAUCUCCUCAGAUCACACCACCAACACUACCCUUGGAGCCAUGAUUUUCUCUGCAAGAAGCAGAAUGCUUCUCACCAAGUAGGAAGCACAUUCCCAUGAUGCCCUUCUCCAGUACAGUGUCUACGGGUUUCAGGACAUGUCUAGUCCCAAAGCUGUACAAACAAUUCAGUAACUUCUCAAGUUAUGAGAUUACCCUCUGGUGAAGUCACCUGGGCUUGAGGGUUGGUUUGGCACAGAUCAUUGUUAGUAGUUAUUUGUCAUUGGUCUUUUAGUGUAUUACCUUUUUAGUGUAGAUUUUAUACUUCAGGUCAAUCCUGGCAGCCAGAUUGGCUGCUGUAAUGAAGAUGUGUGGAUAUAUUUUCUAUUCAGGGUUAGUGACAUAACUGAAUAGGCUUUCUUUGGGUUAAGAGUGACAAGUUAAUCUUAGCAACUUUAAAAUUAUUUUCUGCUUGCUAUAUUAGAAGAUAUAAAUACCUAAAUGGGAUUUUUUUUGUUUAUUCUUAUUUUUCUUCCAAUACUUAAGUAAAAUGCCAUUAGUAGGACUGAUUUUCCGUUAGAAAACAUUUUAAUCUGUGCACGCAUAUAUUCUUUCUAGAAAAAGAAAAACAUCCAUUCAUGAGAGUUCAGGGAUACGUGAAAAUGAAGCAAAUGAGGAAAGACCCAUUCACAUUCCUCCAAAAGAUCUGCGGCUCACUGGAAUCAUGUUACUGGCUCCUGGUAGUCCCUGACUUUACCUGUUUGUUCCAGGAACUUGCUUUAUGGCCAUUUGUUCUGAUGAUCAGUUUGGACAACCAACCUUUAUUCCUCCACCUCAGACAAUAUUCAACAUCCUGUAAUCAUCAUAGCGCAAUCAAGGCUGGUUUGGGGAAGAAGGAGAAGACCUGGGAUUUCCAUCAAGAACACUUAUCAGACUUUUCCACUGGAGAAAGUAGAGGCAAGCAGUCUGAUGGCUGCUCUGUCUGA
rnacentral:lncRNA from 1 species